GAAUUGCGAAAAGUAGUGUGACUUGCAAUGCUCGUGAACCAUCGAAUCUUUGAACGCACAUUGCGCUUCGCGGCCCAUCCGUGGAGCAUGCCUGGUUGAGUGUCCGUAAAUCCACUCUCUCGCACCCAUUUACUUGGGAGGCGAGGGGAUAUAUGGAGUAAUUCAGCAGAGGGCCGCGCCAUGUAAUAACGUGGCCGCCCUUCGCACUCUGCAAUGUAGGUGAAGCCUCCUAGGAUUUUUGAAAAUCCCCCGCAGUCUCCUCAGCGGGACUGUGAAUCUUUUCUUGGGGAGAUUCCGAUUAUUUUGGCGUCGUAGCCCUCGUGCCUAGCGCCAGAGUCUCAUAUCGCGAAUCUCGUUUUACAUCCCGGGUUUAAAAGUGGGUGGGAGCGCGUUUUCUUCA
rnacentral:misc_RNA from 1 species